UCCCUGGUGGUCCAGUGGUUAAGACUCUGCACUCUUGCUGCUGAGGGCCCAGGUUCGAGCCCUGGUCAGGGAA